rnacentral:rRNA from 1 species
UACGUAGGGUGCGAGCGUUGUCCGGAAUUAUUGGGCGUAAAGGGCGCGUAGGCGGCCAGCACAAGUCAGUUGUGAAAUCUCCGAGCUUAACUCGGAAAGGUCAACUGAUACUGUGCGGCUAGAGUGCGGAAGGGGCAACUGGAAUUCCUGGUGUAGCGGUGGAAUGCGCAGAUAUCAGGAGGAACACCGAUGGCGAAGGCAGGUCUCUGGGCCGCAACUGACGCUGAGGAGCGAAAGCAUGGGGAGCGAACAGG